AUUGAACGCUGGCGGCAGGACUAACACAUGCAAGUCGAGCGGAGCGGCGGACGGGUGAGUAAUGCCUAGGAAUGUGCCUGGUCGUGGGGGAUAACGUACGGAAACGGGCGCUAAUACCGCAUCCUAUCAGCAGAGCAGAGGUCGGAUUAGGUAGUUGGUUGGGUAAAGGCCGACCAAGGCGACGAUCCGUAACUGUUCUGAGAGGAUGAGCAGUCACCCUGGAACUGAGACAUGGUCCAGACUCCUACGGGAGGCAGCAGUGGGGAAUAUUGGACAAUGGGCGAAAGCCUGAUCCAGCCAUACCGCGUGGGUGAAGAAGGCCUUCGGGUUGUAAAGCCCUUUUGUUGGGAAAGCGGUACCCAAAGAAUAAGCACCGGCUAACUUCGUGCCAGCAGCCGCGGUAAUUC
rnacentral:rRNA from 1 species